rnacentral:lncRNA from 1 species
GACGACGUUAAGGGUUUCAGUUGCAAAUAUAAAAGUCGAUUUGAAAAUAAAACUCUGUUUAGAGUUGUACACAGUAACACAGUAACACAGAUCAGAGAAGAGCAAAGAGCAGAGAGAGAGAGAGAGAGAGAGAGCAACUGAAUUUGGCGAUCGUCUCUUAGAUUGGGUUAGGGUUUCACGUCUCCAAUGGCGGGGAGAAACGAACGAAGAUUUAGGUGCAGAGACCUGAGUGAAUGGGUGAAGCCAGUGAUAUUUGGGUUUCUCUUAUCUCUCGUUUAUUCCACCUUCAUCAUCGGCUACAGACUUCACUCGCGUUCGUAUUUUGGUUUGCUUUCUUCCACCAUUGAUAUCGUUUCUUUCCUUAUCUCUCAAGUCUUCUCUGUUUUCGAGUUCUGUUCCACCAUUGAUCGUUUCUUUCCUAUCUCACUCUUUCAUUUUUCCUGAUUUCACUUAAUGAUCGUAGAUCACUUGAGAUGGUUUUUGCAAAUCGUGUUCGUGUAUUUUCUUUUACGAUAUUAAAAGGUUUCAGUGAUUCUUGGAAGCCUUUCUUAUUAUUUCUGCAAAUGAUUUCAGAGAACAGCACUGGGAAUACCUUCUUCGACAAGGUAACGUUAUCAUCGCAUUGUACUUAAAAGAUUUCAAAAGAAAUACUGAAAAUGUAAGUUGUUGAAUGGAUGUUUUUAGGAUCUUGACUGGAGGGAACAGAAAGCUCUGGAAUCUGUUCGAUCUCUUUUCACAAAAGAGG